rnacentral:lncRNA from 1 species
AGACAGGGUAUCAGAUUGUUCUGCACCUUUCUGAGGACUUGAACCAUAAGAAAGUCACCAGACCAAAUCCCAGAGUAAAAGGCAAAGCCCACAGAGACUGCUGGAAACAGUGACUCACCGUCUGUAACUUCGAGGUCAAUUUUGCAUGUUUAAGCUCAUCUAAGCAAGCAGCCCCGCAGGCUUUUGUUCACGACAUGCGAAACAAGGCAGUUUGUGAAUCACUGUGCAGGGAGGUAAAUCUUAAGGAUGAAGAUUGAGUUUAAGUCACUUCCAGGGCUGGGAUCAGCCUCCUAUUCAUUCCUACAGCUGUCCUCUUUAGGCUUUCUCCAACCUCCCAGUGUUUAAAUUAGUUUACAGUCUCAAAAAGUAAGUGAAUUCUUAUUUCACACUCAAAUGAAGAAGAGCUUUUAUUUUGUUUCCACCAUAACAAAAUAAGACUUAAUGAAAAUUCCCCUUGAAUAUAAAGCCCUAGAGCCACGCCAGUUCACUCCAGAGUGACUGAGACCUGGAAUUCUGUUAACGAGCAGCGACUGACUCACACAUUUGACCAGGAAGCAUGUUGCACCCACCAAUCUAGUUAAAUAAAUAGUAUUUUCAAAGUAAGGGGUGUGAUAAUAGCAUUUCGUCCAUGUGACUUAUUAGCACAUUUAGUCUGUGUUCCAAACGUGUCCUGGCUGCAGGUGCCUGGAAUGUGAGUCUUCUGGAGCUCAAGAAAGGGGGUAAGAGGGACCUUCCAGUGUGGCAGAACUCAGGGUCACCCCAUCUCCCUAACAUAGUGCAGGGAGGCUGAUGCCAUCCAGCAAAGGGUUGUUCACAAGGGAAGGAAGGAGUCCGGUGGACUUGGUGAUGUCAGAUGGAAUUACUGAGAAAAAGCAUUUACUUCUACUCGGUGAAAGUUCUUUGAGUACCUGAGCAUCUUCUGUAGCUACAUUAUUGUCCUCUGGUAAACAUGGUGCUGAGCAUAGCUGUCCCCCUUCUUCUAGGGAACACAUUCUAAGACCACUGGCACUAUGGAUAGUACCCAAACCAUAUAUACUGUAUUUUCUCUAUACAUACACAAAUGCAAAGCUCUUUUUCUUCCUAGCUAAGAACUUACGAGCACUGUGGUUGUAACUUUUGCAAUUUGAGGUACAACAGUAACGGAUCAUGAAUUUCUUUGUUUCUUCUCAGUUUCAUGGAUGUAAGAUCAUUCUGACCCUAGAUCUUAGCAAACUCAGAACAUGAUUUGUUUUUUAUUGAACUUCCACAUUUUAUUUAAAGAAAGCACUUCACAGCUUCUCUUUGGUCUGUCUGAAUUGCCAGCAUUAUUUCUCUUGUGCUUUGGGGCCAUUGUCAACUAAAAUAAGGGUUGUUUAAAAGCAAACAUUUAACAUGUCAGUUGAUCCAAUGACCCAGUCAGCUACUAAGUGACUAACAGGAGGGUAAUGCACAAAGAGCAGGAAGCUGGACACAGAGAUGAGUCAUGAUCGUGGUGGAACAGGGUAGGAUGGCACAGGAUUUCAUCAUCCCACUCAGAAUGGCACACAAUCUUAAACUAAUGAAUUGUUUUAUUUCUAGAACUUUCCAUUCAAUGCCUUUGGACUGCAAUGGCCGGGGUAAUGGGAACCUCAGAAAGGGGAGCUAUGGAUGAGGGAGGAUACUGUGAAUGAAUCCGCUCCCUUGAAGAUUUCCCAAGUUGAGCUUCUAUUUGGCUCUUGGACUCUGAAGUAGGAAAGAGGACUAAGGAACUCUGGUGACACUGUCAUGGCCCAUCAGAGGCCACUGAGCUGGGAGCCUCAUCUACUGACGUCCAGACUUGCCAACCUUGAAGUAAAAUGGCAACCCACCUUCUCUCCCGUCGGUGUGAGUCUUCUUGGUGAAGGGAAUAAAUUGCUUUCCUGGUUAAUCGUGCCUAAACCAGAACAAUUCUGAGGCCCUUGAUUGGACACAAGUGGAGCGGAGCCAGAGGCCCAGGCUGACCCUUGCAUGCUCUCGAGCUGGUGGGAGCUGCUUGCAAACCCCUGUUGGAAAUCUGGUGACUUAGAGGACAGCCAGGGCUUUCUUCUGAGAAGGAAAGAGGGGCAAAAGGUCUUUGCUGGACUCAUUCUUUUUGUCCAGAAACAUUGGGGCUGUGUCUUCUCGCUCUCCACCUAUCCCACCU